rnacentral:misc_RNA from 1 species
GUCUAGUGUGGCGCUCUCCCAGCUGCCCUCACAGCUCACAAGAAUGGAAACAAAGGAUGUAGAAGACGAGCUAACAUGGAGCAGAGAAACAAUCCCAAGAGUCAUGAAGAUAGUCAGCACGAGACUCCCUCAAAGAGACCUUGUGUCUCUUCUGCUUGUUAGCCCUUGGCUCCACCGCACUCUCAUCUCUUACCUCUCUCUUUGGCUGGUUCUUGAUUUUCGUGAGAUGAAUAAGGCUGGAGAUAGACUUAUAAGGGCUCUUUCACUGUCAAGAUACCAGCAUGUGAAGCAGAUUAACCUUGAAUUUGCACAAGAUAUUGAAGACAGACAUCUUGAAGUCCUUCAAAACAAGUCUAUCAUUUCUCUUCAAAGCUUGGAGUCGUUAAAUUUGAAUGGCUGCCAGAAGAUCUCUGACAAGGAAAUAGGAAUAGAAGCUAUAACCAGUGCUUGUCCAAAACUGAAGGUCUUCUCUAUUUAUUGGAAUGUGAGGGUGA